CCCUAGCCCUGAUUGCAUCGGCAUCCUUUUUUGUUUUUGUUGUUUGUUGUUAAAAACUACAAUUUGUGAUAAAACAAAAAAGAUAUAGUGGAAAGCAGGUAUAAGC
rfam:Epilithonimonas sp. 36-9 SCNpilot_cont_300_bf_scaffold_336, whole genome shotgun sequence.